UUUAGUUUGACGUCCCGAAACUACGUGAGCUACUCUAAGACAGCCUAUUAAUAGGGCAUACCCGUCUCUGUGGCAAAAGGGUGGGGAGAGCUUUGAGUAGAGGUGACAAACCUACCGAACCUAGUUAUAGCUGGUUGUCCAAGAAAUGAAUAGAAGUUCAGCCUCUUGGCUUCUUUGUUCACACUAGUCUAACCCCUAAAUUGAUGCGUAAAGAAACCAACAGAGUUAGUCAAAGGGGGUACAGCCCCUUUGAAUCAAGACACAACUUUACUAGGAGGGUAAAGAUCAUAAUAACUAAAGCUAGAUGUUCCGGUGGGCCUAAAAGCAGCCAUCCCUUUAGAAAGCGUUAAAGCUCGAACAUAUACCCGCCCCUUCUUAUUCUGAUCCCCUUAUCUUACCCCCCUAAACGUACUGGACCAUCCCAUGCCCCCAUGGGAGUGACUAUGCUAAUAUGAGUAAUAAGAGGGCCAAAGGCUCUCUCCCUGCACACGUGUACAUCGGAACGGACACUCCACCGACAAUUAACGGCCCCAAACAAAGAGGGCAUUGGACAACAAACCAAACAACCAGAAAAGCCUCCAACAACAAACCGUUAACCCCACACAGGUGUGCCCACAGGGAAAGACUGAAAGAAAGAGAAGGAACUCGGCAAACACAAGCCUCGCCUGUUUACCAAAAACAUCGCCUCUUGUAUAAUUAAAAAUAAGAGGUCCCGCCUGCCCUGUGACUAUUUGUUUAACGGCCGCGGUAUUUUGACCGUGCGAAGGUAGCGCAAUCACUUGUCUUUUAAAUGAAGACCCGUAUGAAUGGCAUAACGAGGGCUUAGCUGUCUCCUCUUUCCGGUCAAUGAACUUGAUCUCCCCGUGCAGAAGCGGGGAUAUAACCAUAAGACGAGAAGACCCUAUGGAGCUUUAGACACGAAAGCAGCCCACGUUAAGCACCCCGAACAAGGGACUAAACCAAGUGGGCCCUGCCCUAAUGUCUUUGGUUGGGGCGACCGCGGGGAAUUAAAGAACCCCCACGUGGAACGGGAACACUUUUCCUACAACCAAGAGCUACAGCUCUAGAAAACAGAAAUUCUGACCAACAAGAUCCGGCAAUGCCGAUCAACGGACCGAGUUACCCUAGGGAUAACAGCGCAAUCCUCUUUUAGAGCCCAUAUCGACAAGGGGGUUUACGACCUCGAUGUUGGAUCAGGACAUCCUAAUGGUGCAGCCGC
rnacentral:rRNA from 1 species